UCUCCUACGGGAGGCAGCAGUGGGGNCUUUUUGGNNAAUGGGNCCAAGCNUGAUCCNNNNAUNCCGCGUGCNGGAAGAAGGCCUUCGGGUUGUAAACUGCUUUUGUCCGGAAGGAAAAGGNUCUGGUUAAUACCUGGGGCUCAUGACGGUACCGUAAGAAUAAGCACCGGCUAACUACGUGCCAGCAGCCGCGGUAAUACGUAGGGUGCAAGCGUUAAUCGGAAUUACUGGGCGUAAAGCGUGCGCAGGCGGUUUUGUAAGUCAGGGGUGAAAUCCCCGGGCUCAACCUGGGAAUUGCGUUUGUGACUGCAAGUCUGGAGUGCGGCAGAGGGGGAUGGAAUUCCGCGUGUAGCAGUGAAAUUCGUAGAUAUGCGGAGGAACACCGAUGGCGAAGGCAAUCCCCUGGGCCUGCACUGACGCUCAUGCACGAAAGCGUGGGGAGCAAACAGGAUUAGAUACCCUGGUAGUCCACGCCCUAAACGAUGUCAACNGCUNNCUGGCUCUCUUCUGACUCAGUAACGAAGCUAACGCGUGAA
rnacentral:rRNA from 1 species